UAGGGAAUCUUCGGCAAUGGACGAAAGUCUGACCGAGCAACGCCGCGUGAGUGAAGAAGGUUUUCGGAUCGUAAAACUCUGUUGUUAGAGAAGAACAAGGACGUUAGUAACUGAACGUCCCCUGACGGUAUCUAACCAGAAAGCCACGGCUAACUACGUGCCAGCAGCCGCGGUAAUACGUAGGUGGCAAGCGUUGUCCGGAUUUAUUGGGCGUAAAGCGAGCGCAGGCGGUUUCUUAAGUCUGAUGUGAAAGCCCCCGGCUCAACCGGGGAGGGUCAUUGGAAACUGGGAGACUUGAGUGCAGAAGAGGAGAGUGGAAUUCCAUGUGUAGCGGUGAAAUGCGUAGAUAUAUGAGGAACACCAGUGGCGAAGGCGGCUCUCUGGUCUGUAACUGACGCUGAGGCUCGAAAGCGUGGGGAGCAAACAGG
rnacentral:rRNA from 1 species